rnacentral:sRNA from 1 species
GCCAGGCGCGGUGGCUCACGCCUGUAAUCCCAGCACUUUGGGAGGCUGAGGUGGGCGGAUCACCUGAGGUCAGGAGUUCAAGACCAGCCUGGCCAACAUGGUGAAACCCCAUCUCUA